rnacentral:rRNA from 1 species
CAAUAGCGUAUAUUUAAGUUGUUGCAGUUAAAAAGCUCGUAGUUGGAUUUCGGUUGAGAACGGCCGGUCCGCCGUUUGGUGUGCCCUGGCUGGUUUCAACUUCCUGUAGAGGACGUGCUCUGGCUUCACGGCUGGACGCGGAGUCUACGUGGUUACUUUGAAAAAAUUAGAGUGUUCAAAGCGGGCUUACGCUUGAAUAUUUCAGCAUGGAAUAACACUAUAGGACUCCUGUCCUAUUUCGUUGGUCUCGGGACGGGAGUAAUGAUUAAGAGGAACAGUUGGGGGCAUUCGUAUUUCAUUGUCAGAGGUGAAAUUCUUGGAUUUAUGAAAGACGAACUUCUGCGAAAGCAUUUGCCAAGGAUGUUUUCAUUAA